rnacentral:rRNA from 1 species
GUGUAGCGGUGAAAUGCGUAGAGAUCUGAAGGAAUACCGAUGGCGAAGGCAGCCACCUGGGUCAACACUGACGCUCAUGUACGAAAGCGUGGGGAGCAAACAGGAUUAGAUACCCUGGUAGUCCACGCCGUAAACGAUGUCUACUAGAAGCUCGGAGCCUCGGCUCUGUUUUUCAAAGCUAACGCAUUAAGUAGACCGCCUGGGGAGUACGGCCGCAAGGUUAAAACUCAAAUGAAUUGACGGGGGCCCGCACAAGCGGUGGAGCAUGUGGUUUAAUUCGAUGCAACGCGAAGAACCUUACCUACACUUGACAUACAGAGAACUUACCAGAGAUGGUUUGGUGCCUUCGGGAACUCUGAUACAGGUGCUGCAUGGCUGUCGUCA